CAUCAGAACUCCGAAAGUUAAGCGUGCUUUGGGCGAAGAGUAGUACUAGGAUGGGUGACCCCCUGGGAAGUCCUCGUGUUGCACUCCU
rnacentral:rRNA from 1 species